UGUUCUUUUUGUUUUUGCAGAGACUCAACAAUGGAUGAUGAGGAACCUACUAAUGGAUCCUUCUCAGCACGUGUUUUUGCCUUGGUUGUGUCUGUUUGCGCGGAAACAUCUGAAUGAUGAAAAAAGGGUAGUCAUAAACAAGUCAGCUUCGGAUCUAUGAUGAAUAUCGCCUCAUUCUCUGUACUAGAGCCUCAAGAAUGGACGAUGAGAUUGAAGAACCUACUGAUGGGUCCUUCACAACACGUUUUUCAGCUUCUCGCUUGUGUUAGGUUGCUGAGAAACAUCUGAAUGACAACAAGAGGGGAAUCUGAAAUGAUUGCAACUUUGUUUCUUUGAUGAAUAUUUCCCCCUUUUAUGUACCAUAUGAGCUGCUAGACCGGGUAGUCAUGAAGAUUGACCCUAAGCAGGGUUUGUUGAGUCAUAAAAAGAAAGAUAUAUCUGUACUUAAGAAGGCGAGGAACCACGAAAUUGCGACCAUCGAGAGGUCUUGGGUUCUUUUAUGCAUCACGCUUGUGCUAGUGCUUCGCACCGGCAACAUGGUGCCAUUGAGUACCUUGCUAGCCUGAAGGACAUUGCUGAACUCGACGAUUUUGCGUGAGACGAGCGCAUCUUGGCUGCUGCAUUGAGAGGUGAAGAAGUACCGACACAAAGAAGGAGGCUUGGGGUUCCAAGCUUCUUGAUUGGUCGUUGCCUACCAAUGUUUCUGAUAAUAUACAAGGACCAUAUGGAGGUGCCACGAUCAUGCAUUAGUGAGCAAAUGGGGUGGUUCGCGCACCGAAAUGCCAUUGCUCCUCCGCUGCGGCAAGGAUGUCGUGGCAUCGUGCUGCUGCUGCAUGUGAGCUCGUCGAGAUGAGAGCUCAUCUUCCUCAACUCUGGCGGCACCCACCGUUGUGCUGUGUUGCAACACCCUCGGUGCUACCACGUGGGACUGUUGUGGUGGGGCGUCCGCUGCUGGGCUGGGAUUAAUCCGUACCCUUUCAUACUAAGGGGCAUGAUGGUCAUAUUCAAACAAGUUUCGCGGUUUUUUUAGUAACCCAACUCUCGCGGCACCCACCGUUGUGCUGUGUUGCAACACCCUCGGUGCUACCACGUGGGACUGUUGUGGCGGGGCGUCCGCUGCUGGGCUGGGAUUAAUCCGUACCCUUUCAUACUAAGGGGCAUGAUGGUCAUAUUCAAAC